rnacentral:rRNA from 1 species
AUGAUUGAUGUAUCUAUACUCUUUAUAAGUUCUCACCGGAGGCAUCAUCAGACCAACGUAUACGUAAUCAAAUUUGUUGCUUCAAAUUUUGUUCGGGUAUGUGCUGUUGGAACCGCAGCCCUCUCUCACUCUCGGCUAGAGGAAGAAGAAGAACACGAACACAAGAUUUUCUGGUCGGCGCACGAACGCCGCUACGGGCGUACGAACGCCCCAAUCCUUUACUUCUUUACAGUGGCUACAUCGCUACUUUGUUUUUCCCAGCCCUCACGGCUCACUUUUCUCAUUCAUCUUCUCCAACUUAAAUAG